rnacentral:rRNA from 1 species
UACGGAAGGGGCAAGCGUUGUUCGGAAUCAUUGGGCGUAAAGGGCGCGUAGGUGGUUUUGUGUGUCUACCGUGAAAGCGUACAGCUCAACUGUAUUUUGUCGGUAGAAACUGCAGGACUUGAGGCUGGGAGGGGCUGGUGGAAUUCCCUGUGUAGCGGUGAAAUGCGUAGAGAUGGGGGAGAACACUCGUGGCGAAGGCGGCCAGCUAGACCAGUUCUGACACUGAGGCGCGACAGCGUGGGGAGCAAACAGG